ensembl:snRNA RNU6-304P RNA, U6 small nuclear 304, pseudogene
UGACUUGCCAGCACAUAUACUAAAAAAAAAUUGGAAUGAUACAGAGAAGAUCAGCAUGGGCCCCGCGCGAGGACGUCAUGCAAAUCUGUGAAGUGUUCUGUACUUAU